GAUGAAGAACGCAGCGAAAUGCGAUACGUAAUGUGAAUUGCAGAAUUCAGUGAAUCAUCGAAUCUUUGAACGCAUAUUGCGCUCUCUGGUAUUCCGGAGAGCAUGCUUGUCUGAGUAUCAGUAAACACCUCAACUCCCUUUCUUCUUGAAAUGGAGCUGGACUUGAGUGAUCCCAACGCUUUAUUCAUAAAGUGGCGGGUUACUUGAAAUGCAGGUGCAGCUGGACUUUUCUCUGAGCUAUAAGCAUAUCUAUUUAGUCUGCCUCAAAACAGAUUAUUACCUUUGCUGCAGCUAACAUAAAGGAGAUUAGUUCUUGUGCUGACUGAUGCAGGAUUCACAAAGACCGCUUCGGCUGUCUUUGUAAACUCGAUCUCAAAUCAAGUAAGACUACCCGCUGAACUUAAGCAUAUCAAUAAGCGGAGGA
rnacentral:misc_RNA from 1 species